GAGCAAGAGGAGGUGCAGAAUUUCACCUAGAGAAAGAGACAACAAGGGAGAAGAGAAGUAAAGAAAAUAGGAGGAAGAGGACAAGAAGUGGGACAAAAAGGCAAGAGAGAGCCCACGUUUCUCCUGCUCUCCCCUCCCUCCUCCACCAACGAGUUUCACCUCAAAAAGAGCAGAGGGACCAACUUCAAAAGGCAGUCAGGAGGGAGCUGGAGUGUGAAACGUGAGGAGAGAAGAAGAUGAGAGGCUGACCGGCGCUGUGCUUGCUGUGCUGUCCAGGACACAAGCAGAGCCCUGGAUCCACAGGUGACUCCUGGCAGUAAUGGGAGUGUCCGUGGAAGAACUCGCUCCUGAAGGCCUGUGAGAGGACACACAAAAGCACGGGCAGGAGAAAGAAAAAGACUGAGGGAGACUCUCUGGGAAGGAAGAGAAGGGAGAGGGAGGUAUGCUUUUUCUUUUUCUCCUGUCUUCCCUCCUUUCCACCUCUGCAUGUGAUUGGAAAGAGAAAGCGGAGCGAGACAAGAGAUCAGCAGGCACAUUGGUUUUUGUCCUUUAACUUGGGUGUGCGUGCACGUCCUCCCCCUUUGUCACCAACCUGCGCCCGAGACCUGCAGGUUUGGACACAAAGCAGUGAGCUCGGAGAGCAGCGAGCGAUUGGGGCAUCCUGGAUCCAAAGGGGAGGAAAAUCCUGCAGGAUCUGCAGUGGAUGUGGAUCUGCAGGAUCCACAUGUGCGCGCCGACCUGGACGAGGCACCUUCGACUUUCUGUUCAAACUGAACAGGCGUCCUCUGACGUGUGUUCAUGAAGAACGUUCAGAGCUGCGAUCCUUCUUUGGCGCCGAUUACCUUAAAUGUGAAAUAGAGGGUGCGAUUUAAAGCUUAAAACUCUGUCCCAGUACUGGAGCUGUCUGAGAUGAAUAAACUUCCAUC
ensembl:lncRNA